AUAUAAACACUAGAUGGCUCAUGGGAGAUUUUCCAGCGUAGCUGACCGGCCGCCAUCUUCCUACAGUUAACAGUUACUCUGAUUCGCGUUAUGGUAGCUGUUGUAAGAAGUACCUGACUAUGCCGGACUUUUGUGCAGCCUACGGAUGCUCUAAUCACCGCAGUCUGCAAACAAGAACCCGUGGGAUCACCUUUCACAUGUUUCCCAAAACCGAAGAGAGGAGGAGGCAGUGGGAACUCGCCCUAAGAAGGGACGGUUUUGUUUCCUGUGACAGGACAGUAACAGUCUGACCCGUUGUUGGGCCAAGCUGUUUUGUGCAUAUAAUUUUACUUACUUGCAGUUACAAAUA